UGGUAGAGCGCAUGCUUUGCAUGUAUGAGGCCCCGGGUUCGAUCCCCGGCAUCUCCAUCUGCCUUUUCUUUUCAUUUCCAGAUUUGGAAGUCUUCCGUGUGGGUCGAGCGCUACACCUGACAGUAGAAUCCUGACGACGCAGCAAUUACUGAGGAUUGAACCCAGGCCCUUUCACAUAGCUAUACACCUACACCUUUUUAAUUUUGAGACGGGACCUGCUAAAUCGCUCAACCCACAGUCUAACUCCGGAUCCUUCCUCAACCUCCUGGAGUCCUAGGAUUACAGGCCUGUGUCUCCACACCCAGGAUCUCACUGUGAAGUUCAGGCUGACCUUGAACUCACAAUGUAGCUGAGGAUGACCUCAAACUUUCAGUGAUUAUUCUGCCUCAGCCUCCUAAGUGGUGGGAUUACAGGUAUGUGCCACCAUUCCUGGCUUUAUUAUGCUGACAAUUAAACAUUUAUCCUGGAACUCAGGCUUAUUCAUCCUCAUUCACAUAACAAUAAA